UGACCAGACUCCUACGGGAGGCAGCAGUGGGGAAUAUUGCACAAUGGGGGAAACCCUGAUGCAGCAACGCCGCGUGAGUGAAGAAGUAUUUCGGUCUGUAAAGCUCUAUCAGCAGGGAAGAGAAUGACGGUACCUGACUAAGAAGCCCCGGCUAACUACGUGCCAGCAGCCGCGGUAAUACGUAGGGGGCAGGCGUUAUCCGGAUUUACUGGGUGUAAAGGGAGCGUAGACGGCAGUGCAAGUCUGGAGUGAAAGGCGGGGGCUCAACCCCCGGACUGCUCUGGAAACUGUACGGCUGGAGUGCAGGAGAGGUAAGUGGAAUUCCUAGUGUAGCGGUGAAAUGCGUAGAUAUUAGGAGGAACACCAGUGGCGAAGGCGGCUUACUGGACUGUAACUGACGUUGAGGCUCGAAAGCGUGGGGAGCAAACAGGAUUAGAUACCCGGGUACC
rnacentral:rRNA from 1 species